UUAAGCGACUAAGCGUACACGGUGGAUGCCCUGGCAGUCAGAGGCGAUGAAGGACGUGCUAAUCUGCGAUAAGCGUCGGUAAGGUGAUAUGAACCGUUAUAACCGGCGAUUUCCGAAUGGGGAAACCCAGUGUGAUUCGUCACACUAUCAUUAACUGAAUCCAUAGGUUAAUGAGGCGAACCGGGGGAACUGAAACAUCUAAGUACCCCGAGGAAAAGAAAUCAACCGAGAUUCCCCCAGUAGCGGCGAGCGAACGGGGAGCAGCCCAGAGCCUGAAUCAGUGUGUGUGUUAGUGGAAGCGUCUGGAAAGGCGCGCGAUACAGGGUGACAGCCCCGUACACAAAAAUGCACAUACUGUGAGCUCGAUGAGUAGGGCGGGACACGUGGUAUCCUGUCUGAAUAUGGGGGGACCAUCCUCCAAGGCUAAAUACUCCUGACUGACCGAUAGUGAACCAGUACCGUGAGGGAAAGGCGAAAAGAACCCCGGCGAGGGGAGUGAAAAAGAACCUGAAACCGUGUACGUACAAGCAGUGGGAGCACAGAGCAAUCUGUGUGACUGCGUACCUUUUGUAUAAUGGGUCAGCGACUUAUAUUCUGUAGCAAGGUUAACCGAAUAGGGGAGCCGAAGGGAAACCGAGUCUUAACUGGGCGUUAAGUUGCAGGGUAUAGACCGAAACCCGGUGAUCUAGCCAUGGGCAGGUUGAAGGUUGGGUAACACUAACUGGAGGACCGAACCGACUAAUGUUGAAAAAUUAGCGGAUGACUUGUGGCUGGGGGUGAAAGGCCAAUCAAACCGGGAGAUAGCUGGUUCUCCCCGAAAAGCUAUUUAGGUAGCGCCUCGUGAAUUCAUCUCCGGGGGUAGAGCACUGUUUCGGCAAGGGGGUCAUCCCGACUUACCAACCCGAUGCAAACUGCGAAUACCGGAGAAUGUUAUCACGGGAGACACACGGCGGGUGCUAACGUCCGUCGUGAAGAGGGAAACAACCCAGACCGCCAGCUAAGGUCCCAAAGUCAUGGUUAAGUGGGAAACGAUGUGGGAAGGCCCAGACAGCCAGGAUGUUGGCUUAGAAGCAGCCAUCAUUUAAAGAAAGCGUAAUAGCUCACUGGUCGAGUCGGCCUGCGCGGAAGAUGUAACGGGGCUAAACCAUGCACCGAAGCUGCGGCAGCGACGCUUAUGCGUUGUUGGGUAGGGGAGCGUUCUGUAAGCCUGCGAAGGUGUGCUGUGAGGCAUGCUGGAGGUAUCAGAAGUGCGAAUGCUGACAUAAGUAACGAUAAAGCGGGUGAAAAGCCCGCUCGCCGGAAGACCAAGGGUUCCUGUCCAACGUUAAUCGGGGCAGGGUGAGUCGACCCCUAAGGCGAGGCCGAAGGGCGUAGUCGAUGGGAAACAGGUUAAUAUUCCUGUACUUGGUGUUACUGCGAAGGGGGACGGAGAAGGCUAUGUUGGCCGGGCGACGGUUGUCCCGGUUUAAGCGUGUAGGCUGGUUUUCCAGGCAAAUCCUGAAAAUCAAGGCUGAGGCGUGAUGACGAGGCACUACGGUGCUGAAGCAACAAAUGCCCUGCUUCCAGGAAAAGCCUCUAAGCAUCAGGUAACAUCAAAUCGUACCCCAAACCGACACAGGUGGUCAGGUAGAGAAUACCAAGGCGCUUGAGAGAACUCGGGUGAAGGAACUAGGCAAAAUGGUGCCGUAACUUCGGGAGAAGGCACGCUGAUAUGUAGGUGAAGUCCCUCGCGGAUGGAGCUGAAAUCAGUCGAAGAUACCAGCUGGCUGCAACUGUUUAUUAAAAACACAGCACUGUGCAAACACGAAAGUGGACGUAUACGGUGUGACGCCUGCCCGGUGCCGGAAGGUUAAUUGAUGGGGUUAGCGCAAGCGAAGCUCUUGAUCGAAGCCCCGGUAAACGGCGGCCGUAACUAUAACGGUCCUAAGGUAGCGAAAUUCCUUGUCGGGUAAGUUCCGACCUGCACGAAUGGCGUAAUGAUGGCCAGGCUGUCUCCACCCGAGACUCAGUGAAAUUGAACUCGCUGUGAAGAUGCAGUGUACCCGCGGCAAGACGGAAAGACCCCGUGAACCUUACUAUAGCUUGACACUGAACAUUGAGCCUUGAUGUGUAGGAUAGGUGGGAGGCUUUGAAGUGUGGACGCCAGUCUGCAUGGAGCCGACCUUGAAAUACCACCCUUUAAUGUUUGAUGUUCUAACGUGGACCCGUAAUCCGGGUUGCGGACAGUGUCUGGUGGGUAGUUUGACUGGGGCGGUCUCCUCCUAAAGAGUAACGGAGGAGCACGAAGGUUGGCUAAUCCUGGUCGGACAUCAGGAGGUUAGUGCAAUGGCAUAAGCCAGCUUGACUGCGAGCGUGACGGCGCGAGCAGGUGCGAAAGCAGGUCAUAGUGAUCCGGUGGUUCUGAAUGGAAGGGCCAUCGCUCAACGGAUAAAAGGUACUCCGGGGAUAACAGGCUGAUACCGCCCAAGAGUUCAUAUCGACGGCGGUGUUUGGCACCUCGAUGUCGGCUCAUCACAUCCUGGGGCUGAAGUAGGUCCCAAGGGUAUGGCUGUUCGCCAUUUAAAGUGGUACGCGAGCUGGGUUUAGAACGUCGUGAGACAGUUCGGUCCCUAUCUGCCGUGGGCGCUGGAGAAUUGAGGGGGGCUGCUCCUAGUACGAGAGGACCGGAGUGGACGCAUCACUGGUGUUCGGGUUGUCAUGCCAAUGGCACUGCCCGGUAGCUAAAUGCGGAAGAGAUAAGUGCUGAAAGCAUCUAAGCACGAAACUUGCCCCGAGAUGAGUUCUCCCUGACUCCUUGAGAGUCCUGAAGGAACGUUGAAGACGACGACGUUGAUAGGCCGGGUGUGUAAGCGCAGCGAUGCGUUGAGCUAACCGGUACUAAUGAACCGUGAGGCUUAACCUU
rnacentral:rRNA from 1 species